rnacentral:rRNA from 1 species
AGAGUUUGAUCAUGGCUCAGGACGAACGCUGGCGGCGUGCUUAACACAUGCAAGUCGAACGGAAAGGCCCUUCGGGGUGCUCGAGUGGCGAACGGGUGAGUAACACGUGGGUGAUCUGCCCUGCACUUUGGGAUAAGCCUGGGAAACUGGGUCUAAUACCGAAUAGGACUGCGCUCUUCAUGGGGUGUGGUGGAAAGCUUUUGCGGUGUGGGAUGGGCCCGCGGCCUAUCAGCUUGUUGGUGGGGUAAUGGCCUACCAAGGCGACGACGGGUAGCCGGCCUGAGAGGGUGACCGGCCACACUGGGACUGAGAUACGGCCCAGACUCCUACGGGAGGCAGCAGUGGGGAAUAUUGCACAAUGGGCGCAAGCCUGAUGCAGCGACGCCGCGUAAGGGAUGACGGCCUUCGGGUUGUAAACCUCUUUCAGCACAGACGAAGCGCGAGUGACGGUAUGUGCAGAAGAAGGACCGGCCAACUACGUGCCAGCAGCCGCGGUAAUACGUAGGGUCCGAGCGUUGUCCGGAAUUACUGGGCGUAAAGAGCUCGUAGGUGGUUUGUCGCGUUGUUCGUGAAAACUCACAGCUUAACUGUGGGCGUGCGGGCGAUACGGGCAGACUGGAGUACUGCAGGGGAGACUGGAAUUCCUGGUGUAGCGGUGGAAUGCGCAGAUAUCAGGAGGAACACCGGUGGCGAAGGCGGGUCUCUGGGCAGUAACUGACGCUGAGGAGCGAAAGCGUGGGGAGCGAACAGGAUUAGAUACCCUGGUAGUCCAA